UACGAAGGGGGCUAGCGUUGUUCGGAAUCAUUGGGCGUAAAGAGCUCGUAGGCGGCCUGUUGCGUCCGCUGUGAAAUCCCGGGGCUUAACCCCGGGCGUGCAGUGGAUACGGGCUGGCUGGAGGCAGGCAGGGGAGAACGGAAUUCCCGGUGUAGCGGUGAAAUGCGCAGAUAUCGGGAGGAACACCGGUGGCGAAGGCGGUUCUCUGGGCCUGUACUGACGCUGAGGAGCGAAAGCGUGGGGAGCGAACAGG
rnacentral:rRNA from 1 species